rnacentral:ncRNA from 1 species
AAUGGUAGAGGUGCGGACUUCAUCAGUACACCGGCGUCAGGGGCAAACGGGCCGGAUGGAAAGGGACGUCCGCCGAAGGGUCGGAAGUUCGCCCAGGCUCCGGCUCUGGCCCGCUGCAAAAGAUGCAGCGGGCUGUCACGGAUGUGGAGCGCUAUC